UUAAGGAAAACAAUGGACUGAACUUAAAAAAUUACCAUAUCAGAUUGUCAAUCGACACUUCCAAAUAUUCCAUUCAGUGUUGUGACGAAUAGAAAGGGUGUUAGGGUUAGGAAAAGCAAAUAUGUUGGUGCAAUACAUGUUCUCGCUAGGUGAUUUCAAUAGCUUCUAAAUAAAUCUUAGUUGUAUCGAUCUCUUGUAAAAUUUUCAUACAAUAUUAAUUAAUAAAAUCUUACACAUACUGAAUUGUUUCUCAAUUAAUAUAUAGGAAAUUAGAGUAAUUACAUAAAUCAACAUAAUAAGUCUUAUUCAUUUACAAUAUAUUUAUAGUAAAUAAAUUAAAAUAAUCAUUUUAUUUAUUUCAUAUAGUAUAUAUAUUGACAUAAAUAUAUAGUAUAUUUCAAUAUAAAUAUUUAUUAUUGAGACUUCGUACUCAUAUGGUUUUAUUAAGAUUUGUAUAUUUGAAGACCAAGAAAAUGUGAAGAAUAUACUUUCUCUCUCCAGAUCACUUUACCUCUCUAAACCUCUUUCUCGACUAAAAAUUAUGUUUGUCUCCGGCGAGUUCAUGCUUUUCUCUGUCGACGAAGGGCUUUUUCCUCUUCCACGUCUCAUGGUUUUCUCUUUGUCCCAUCUCUCCUCCUCCGUCUCCCUCCGAUAUGCGUGUAUUCCUCGAGUUUUGAGCUUCGCCGGUGGAUGUUCCUAGGCUGAAUCCGGUGGCUGUUUGAAUUGCUGGUGAGACUACAAGGUAGGUGUAGCAGCGGUGGGAGGUUCGGGUUGGCUUUUUGGGUAGGGAUUCACUGGCUAUCGAUCCCCCCCCUUUCAGAUCUCCAGCGAAUUCCGGUGUUUUGCGGCGUGUGGCUUGGUCAGGAGGCUCCUCCGCCUAGGAUCUGUUCGUUUACCUUUUAACUCUCUCUCCUUGUUAUCCCGGCGGAGUGUUUCCGAGGCGCGUGUUUGCUUCCUUUGCGUGGCGUCUUGUCGGAUGGAAUUCUCGAUGUCCAAUGGUCAGUAGGUACGUGGUGGUGUAUCAUCUUCGGCGCGUUUGUAGGAUUGCUCGGGUUCGUCGCGUGUCGUCUCCGGUAGUCUCGCGCUUUGGCGCGUGCUUCUGCGUCUUGGUAUCUGACGAUAAGUCAUCUAUGGCUUGGGUUUGAGCCUUGCUCGUGGUGCUACCUUGCUUAUCCUCCUCCAGUCUCGGCUCUCCUCUUUAGCUCUUGUGGUGGUACAUGUCGCGAAGGAUCUCGUUGAGGCGUCUCCGGUGCCUGUUUCAACGGAUGUGCUUCAUUGUCUUCAUUUUCAGUUCCGUUUUAAGCCGGUUAGUUGCUCUGAUUCUCAAAGACUGUCCAUGUCAAGACUCUCCUCUCCGCUUGGUCUUUUGGUUAGGUUGCGUCUUGUGUAUCCAUGUGCGUGAACAUAUCAUCCUGGUGCUGGAACCAAUCGCCCAGGCAAGCUGUGUUCUAGUGGAUGUGUUCUUCUGGCAAGACUGGUGGCUCAGGGGUGCUAAUUGUGGAGUGGCACUCGCUAUUCAACCCGUUUGUUCAGGUAUUUCUUUUUAUUUUACUCUUUUCGAACUGCUCUGAAAUCGUCUAAGAACGAGCCUCAGUCGGUUCGUCGGAUACAAACUUCUGGAAUCCUGGUCUGGUCAAGGUAAUGGAAGAAUAGAUAGAAUUGUUGAGGAUGGUGGUUCCCCUUAACACUACGGGCAGUCUCGAUUCUAUUGGUUUGCUAGUCUGUAAGAGAAAAAGAGCCUUGUGUGGAUUGAGGUGUGUCGGCGCUAGUUCUCAGCGCUAGUUCUAAGAGCAAGCUUGGAUGCAAUGGUCGACUAUAUUUCGAGUUAGUUGGCAUCGUUGGCCCAGGCCUUCUGGUAUUGACGGGAAUUGGUAACGGUACUCCGAGCCAUAGGUUUUUCCCUCCCUCUGUAAUUUAGUUUUUUUUCUCCUUGUGCUUGAGUGAUAAACCUAAUCUAUUCGUAAGAUCCACUGUUUAUUAGAGGACUAGCCGGAGGUCUAGUUUGGUUCCCGUUUAUACGGGUUGAUAACUUAAUAUUAAUAUUUUAAAAAAAAACCUUUGUAUACUUGAUGUAAUAAAAAAAUUUGAACCAUUAAUCCCAAAAUUUUAGAUAUGAUAUUUUUGCGAGGCAAAUUUCAAAAUUAACAAAUUUAUGUAUUUUUAAUAGUACAUAGUUUAUUUUAAACAAUAUUAAUAUAUAUAUAUAUAAUUUAAUAUGAAUAUCUAUCAAAUAAAAAUGCAUAUUAAAACGAUUUUAUGAUCAUUGUAUCUUGCUAUAACAAAAAAAAAUUAAGCCAUUGAUUACAAAAUUUUCAAAGGGAUUUUAACAUUUUUGUUGUUUAAAGUCGUUUUAACAAAAUUCAAAAUAUAGCAUAUAAGAAAAAAAUCUAUUUUUUUAUUAUUAUAUGGUUAAUGUGAUUGUUUAAGUUUUUAAUAAUAUGAAACUAAACAAAAAUUAGGAAUGAUACAGAAAUUAUUAUCAAAUAUUUAUUAUUAAUAAUCAUUAAUUACCAUAUAUAUGUUAAUCAUAUUAGGUAACUGUAUCAUUUAUUUAAGGAAAAAAUACAAGAUUUUUAUACUUUGGGUUAAUAUAAUGUUCCUUACCAAUAGGAUUUUUGACCUACAAAUUAUUCAAUUGAUAUGAUGACACAUAAGCCAAAUUGACAUAUUAAUUAAGUGACAUGUCAUCAAAUCUCUUUUGUAAUUAGUACAGAAUAUAGGUUACAACUUUUUAAAUUAUUUUCUUUUGUUUUGAGCAACUUUUUAAAUGAUUUUUAAUUAAUAUAUAGGGGAUUAUGUUUUACAUUAUAUAAUCAACAUUUGUUAGAAAAAAAUUUAGAAAAACAUUUAUCAAAUGCUAAUGCUCUCUAAAUGGUCUUUGAUCAAUGUUCUCAUAUGAAGCUUUUAGUAGAGAAUUUGUAUUUAUAAUUUAUAAAAUUAAGUAAUUUUUUUAACCAACCCACUCAUAACAAAACAAAACAACACAAAAACUCAGUCAAAUUUACUAAAACUAAGAGAGAAGACGUCACAAGAAAACUUAGUCAAAUUAAUAAAAUAUCAAACUUGAAUUGUAAGUGAAAGUUGAAAUUUUAAAUAUCAUGUAAGUUAAAAAUUAUAACUUAUGAUCUAAAAAGACACAUUGAACCACCUGACUUGAUAUUAUUGAAGUUACUUAACACUUUUGAAAGUUAAAAACACACAUUAAAGUUACUUAAUACUCUUGAAAAUCUAACAUAGAAGACCUCUUAAGAAGUCUUCUCGGAUUAGCUAGAAACAUUAGUAAACAUAAAUGUCUAAAAUCUCAUAAUUAUCACCAAAUAAGUUAUGAAAUUCAUCCAGGAGCCCCAAUAUUGACUAAUACACAUGAAUUAAUAAGAAAAUAUUAUAAAAUUAUUUUAAUUGAAGAGAAAAUGAAAGUUUAUUAAAGAUUGAUGAAGAAUUCUUCUAUUUAGGUCAUUUUGCAAUUGUAAAUUUAUGAAGGAAGACUUCUUAAGAAGUCUACUCUACAGAAGACAUCUUCAGAAGUCUUUCUUUGUAAAUAUUGGCUUACUUUUGAAUUUUUUUCGAAAAUGCCAAAGAAGACUUCUCGAGAAGUCUUCUCGGAUAAACAUGUUAGUUUGCAACUGGCCGAAGUUUGUCAAAAAUUUGACUUUAUAGAAGUAUUCUCAAUGUCGGAAGAAGUCUACUUGGGAUACUUAUGCAAUUGACUAUAUUUGAAUUUUCCGACGGAAGACUUCUAGAGAAGUCUACCAAAGGUUUGACCAAAACCCGAAAUAAAAUUUGAAGUCUUCUUCCAGCUUCUCAUUAAUAAUAAAUGUAUUACUGCUUUUUUUCAAUUGCAAAAGUAACCUAUGCAUACUUCUUGCGACAGUGAGAAGACUUCGGGAAAACUUUCAGAAGACUUCUAUAGAAGUUUUCCCCGAAAAGACUUCCCGAAAAGUCUUCUAUAAAAAGUCAAAUUUUUGACAAACUUUGGUAAAUUGAAAAACUAACAUGUUUAUUCGAGAAGACUAGUCUUCUCUAGGAUUUUUUGUUUUUUUUUUGUUCUUAAUAAAAGAAAGUUAGAAGACUUCUAGGGCAGUGUUUUUGAUGGAGAACACAUCUAGCGAAUUCUUCUGAAAGUGUUCCCGAAAUCUUUUGAAAGUCUUCGCGAGCAGAUCUGAGAAAACAAACGAUUUCAUACCUUGAACAUGUGAGUUGACUUGCUUAACUUCUCCAAACACCCAUAACUUCACUACAAAAGCUACCAAGUCGUUAAUGACCACAAUCAUGAGCUUCAUUGUCUCUAUGAACCUUACAAAGCUUGGAAUCAAAAUAUUGGUUUUUUGGAUGAAUUUGAAGAGAGAGUGAAAGAGAUGUGAUUUGUGUGUAUAAGUAACUAGGGUAAACCCGCCCUACGGGCGGGUGUGAUGAUUAAUGGUUUUUAAAAUUAAAAUAUUUUUCAUUGUAAUGUUUAUUUUACUUUUAUUAUAAAAUAUUUAUAACAAAAUUACUCAGAACGAUAAUUUAAAGUUCAAUACAUAAAUCAGGAAUAAAUUUGAAGUUCAAUACAUAAUUGGAAAUUAUUUUUCUAUCUUAUACAUUUGUUUGUGAAUUUAUUUGUUACUCUUUUUUUCUCUUAUACAUUUUCUUUCAAAUCUAUUGAUUUAGAUAAUAUUCAAAGUGAAUCGAUGUAAAACUUGUUUUAUAAAAUUAGCUAGAUAGUAUAACAAUCUAAUAUUUAUUGUUCCUAUUUAAAAAUAUACAUACUUUUUAAAAAAAUUAAAUAAACUAUAUCAUGCAAACUAAUUAGAUUUUAACAAAUAUUAUUGCUAGUUCUUAGAAUAUGAUUGUUUUUAUUUUUAUUUAAUUUAUUUUUAAAGAAUAUUUUUUUACAUUGGUUGUAUUCAAUAUAUAUAUAUAUAUUUAAUUUAUUAUUCACUUUACAAAUUUUGACCAUAUUUUUAUUAUUAAACAAUUUUAUUAGGUAAUCUUAAUUUAUUUUAAUAAUAUAUAUUUCAUUUAGAAGAUAUAUUGUGUACCACAAUUUUGGAUCAAGUAACAUUUUGAAUCACUUUUUCAAAUAGAAAGUUUGAACGUUAAAAAAAAAUAAAAAUAUAUAUAUAUAUAUAUAUAUGCUAUGUUUAAUUCAUGUAAACAUACAACAUACACUAUGGAGUGACAGUCUAUGGGUGGAGGUUGAUGUCGUAGAUUGAUCGUCUGUUGCAGCUAUGGCUAUAGAUUGCUUCGAUAGUGUUCCGUACCGUGGUGCGUGAGAAAAGGGCCACCCGUGAGUUAAUGUAGACUUAAAUUUCUUUAGGGGACUUCCCAGGUGAGAGAGACUGUGGUGGAUCCAUGUUGAUUUCUGCAGAAGUGUUUCUGAAUCUCUGAUGAUGUAUGGUUUCUGAGAGUUGUGGUAUUUAUAGGUGAGUGGUGAGUGGUGAGUUACAGUUACGUUUUUGCAACUGGUUAGUUGUCUUGAGUUGAUAGAUUCUUUUCUCAUUCCAUUUAUAGUUAGUUUGAUUGAAUUAGUGGCACACGUAAUUUAUAUUUCAAUCGGUAGUUGAUUGCGUCCACUUUAAAUGUGUUAUUAGUUUAUUUAUCCCUUAUAGGUAAAUGUUCAUUUCUCUUGAUGGAGGCGUCCGUAUGUAAAUUGUACAUUGUGGGUUUACUGCUGAAUUAGGUAAACAAAUGUCACUGUAAGUCUGUAAUAACCCUUCUCAACUUAUUUUCUUUGCUUCUAAAAACAAAUAUCUUAACAGUGAGACAUUAAUAUUAUGUUUGUCCUUGAAGGGCAGAUAUCAUUUGCUAUAUAUAAUCUUACUUUCAUUCUUGCUACUCAAACAACUUCUUUUGCAAAGACAAAACAUACAAAGCCAUAAAUAAACACAGAGUUACACACACAUAUGUAUAUAUCAAUCUUUCCAUUCUUCUUCACUUUUUCCAUCCCACCCAUUCCUACAACACAGACAAACCAAUCAAACAGAUUAUCACUCGUUGUUUAGUCCAAUCUUGGAUUUGGAACCAAAGGUCGUUCACAAAAAAGGAUUUGGAACCAAAGUUGUCAGGUACAUUGAUAUAAAGUGGUGCUUUGGAAGCUUUACCACCACGAUGAUGUUAGGUUCCGAGUUUUCCUAUCAAGCAGCAGAUUUUCUAGCGCCGCUGGAGAUCCCAUCAACUCUUCAUGUGCAUCUUGAUUACAGUUUCUCCGAUUAAUACCAGACCCGCCUCUUCUAUCUGCAAAAGUAUUCAGUAUCAAAUAUCAUGAAGCAUAUUAGUUGAAGAAAGUAAAGGAACGAUGAUGAUGAGUCACCCGAUCCUUGGGAUGCAGGACCUGACUUCUCAUUAAUCAAAAGUAAAGUCUGACUCAUAUACCCAACAUCAAACAAAGUAGAGAGCCUUUUUUUUUGUGUGUGCGCAUAAGAUGGUGUUGGGAGAUAUGUGUACCUUUGUAAGCUAUCAGAAGAAGAUGGUCUCUAGACUCAAGGCUUGAUGAAGAUUCAGUUUCUGAUUUUUCCCUUCAAUUACCAUUCAUGGUCUCGGUCUUUCUCUGUAAAAAAAGAGAAAAUUGAGAUCAGUAAACUUGAACAGAACACAGCGAGUACAAAAAGUAAAAUAUUUUUACUAAAAAACAUGAUUCGUAUGAACAGAGAAUUUGGAGUUUGUUUCUCAAACCUCUCAAAGACUUUCAAUUUCUAACUAAGACAACUACUAACAAUAUUUACAUAUUGACUAUUGGCAAUUGAUGAUUUUCAACGAAACAUGCUCUCUUAUUUAUAGGUCAAGAUUCACUAACAUGGAUGAAGGAGCGGUCGUGGAUUAAUGGAGUUAAUGAGAAGGGUUAUUAGGUUUAUUGGUUCUAUAACGUAUUGGAGGAGAUGAAUCACAGGUGAAACGACACAAACAUUGAUCAACAGAGAGUCCUCACAAAAGCGCGUCUCACAGAAGCUUCCAGAACCUUUGUCUGUCGACCUAAUUGGAGAUUGAAAACACGCCGAAACCUAUAAAUCCAAUGUCGACGUUCCUGAGGAAGAUGAUGGUAAAUAUGGGCUAUGCUUUUGUUCAGCCCAAAUAACAUAUUUCAUGCUCCAUAAAAUAUGAUCUUCGUUGAAGCCCAUCAGUUUCUGAAUAAACGAUACGGUGAGAUUUGCAUGCACUUGACACGUGUCGCGUUCUCAGCCUUCGAAUUUCUGACGUGGAUGCACAUGUGGCAUACCUGGAAGGGAUACAAACCUUCUUUUAUAUAUAAAGAUAAGAUAUAAACAGUAAAAAUUGAAACUUUAGUGUAUUAAGAGAUUCAAAUUGGUUGUUCAUGGUGGUUAGUGUAUUGAUGAUAAUUGCAAUAUUGUAAAUACUUGGUGAAGAUGAAGAUGAUAAGAUAAAAUAUUCUUUUUUUUUUAAAGAGAGAAAAAGUAAUGGCAUUUUCGUCAAUAACUUGAACUUCUAUGGUGAAUAGGAAAAAAAAUAAAAUUUAAAAAAAAACAUAAGUUAUUUUUGUGUUUGACUUGAAAUUUUAGGUCAUAUUUGAAAAAACCCCUAUAUUUGUUCUAUGUGAUUGUCACUUAUUGUAUUCGUAGUAAUUCAAGUUAAAUCUGAAAACAAACUGUAUAAAAGUUUAUUCAAUUAUAUAACGUGACAUAACUCAUAAAAAUGAUUCAUGUUUCAUGGCGAUUUGCUCUCGGUGUUCUUGAUGUGGCUCGAUCCAUUAUCACCAGUAUUAACCAUUUUCUGUUUAAGUUAACCUUCCUCCAGUUUCUGGAGGCGGCAUUUGGAAUGGCUGUGGAGAUCCGGGUGGUUUGCUGGUCUUUCAUGUCCUUGGUGACUGCUUAUGGUGGUCCAACACAUUCUAAUACCAUGGAUUUCACUUGUUUCUUCAAGUGUUGCAUUGCUAAUACUUUAUGCAUGUAUAAGAGCAUAUUCUGGUCCAAGAGCAGCGGUUUUCUCUUUCCUUUCUUUCUGUAUCUUCGUUCUUGGAUUCAAAGGUCCUUUUCGUCUCUUGGUCAUUGCACAUAUCUCGGCGUUGGAGGAGAGAUUAUACAGCCUGGUUUUUGGGUCGCUCUCCCUUGGUUAUUAUUGUCUCUUCGCCUUGCUUUUCUCGUUUCGUCUGGCGCUUUAAUGAAUGUGAUGUUUACAAGCUUUGAUGAGUUCAUUGGUUACAAACUACACCGGAUGCGACAUGGAAAGUUCCCACAUCCGAGGAAACAAGGUAAAUCUCACCUUUUUGUGGUCUUCGUCAAUGGUUGAGAACGGUAAACUGUCUUAGAUUUUGGAUCUGAUCCAGAGAAACGCACCGAGGUUCCAUUUCAGAUAACAUUUGUCGCAGCUUAAUUUGUCUCUGUAGAUUUGUCAUCUAAUCAGUUUGUUAUGCAUUUCAUCUGGACUGGUUAGACUGAGACUAGGAAGCAAUAAGCUAAAAGGACUGGUGCAUUAUGCUACGUUUCGAACUAAUGCAAAAUCUAACAUAUAUAGAGAUUGACAACAACUGUUUAACCGGCGGCAUUUGGUAACUUUGGGAACUUGAAUCUCCUGAACUUAGCAAUGAAUGAUUCAUGGGGAUCAUACCUCAUGCAUUUGGAAACCUUACCAAGCUUCAAGUGAUAACUACAUAAAAAAAUCUUACAAGACAAAUCCAAGAUAAGAUGAGAUGAGAUUGUUAAGGAACCUGUUAUUCUUAGGGGCUGAAUGGCAACAUCGGAGACAAUUGCAGUGGUCUUAUUAGUAACAAAAACAUAUAAAUACAUAGAUAUAUGUUGAGAUUUUUGUUAGUGUUAACUGUGGUGCGAUGCAGUUUGUAAACAUUCGAAAUCUUAUCAUCAGCAGGAACUCUCUGAGUGGAUCGAUACACAUUCAUUUUCGCAGCUAGAGCAACUUUCCACUUUGAACUUGCAAGAAAAUAAUCUAAGUGGUACUAUACUCGACAACAUUGGAGAUCUCUGGAUAAUCUCAUAUAACUCCAUUUCAUGCAGAAAUGGCUAAGAGGGAGAAUUCCAGUAAUGCCAUGAAAGUUUCAGAUAUCUUUGAAUCUCAGCGAGAAUAUCUUUGAAGGACCACUCCCAACUUCAUCGUCAUUGUCUCAACUUGACCACUUGAAAGUUUUUCAUCUGUCAAAUAACAGAUUUUCAAGAGGAAUCCCUGAUUUUCUGAUCAGCUUAAUAUCCUUACAUAGCGCAUACUCUCCAACAAUCAGCUUACUGGAAAUAUUCCAAGGUUCACCAAGAAUAUUAUAAUCAAUCAGUGGAAACCCUGGGUUCAAGUUCAUAAAAGAGGAUGGAGUCUCUAUCCAGAAAAUGUCAUAAGAGAAGAGCAAACUAGUUUUGAUUGUAACCUUUGUAGCCGUUGGAUUUAUUUCCCUUGUGGCAGUGAUCAUAACUGUCAUCAUGUGGAAACUUUUUAGGUGCUUCAAGGAAUUUAACAGCAUGCAAGUCGACCAUGAUGCAAAACGAUCAAAACUUCCCAAGGUCAUUCGUGGAAAGCCCUUACGUCAAACUCUCUACACAUGUAGUUGUUCCUCAUCCAUAGAAUGCUUUGUUCCAGACAAUGUUUUGGAGUUACUGCAGAGCAGUCAUGUCCUCCGGUUCGAGUUACUUCAUCAAAAAACUUAACACAAGAGACAUACUUUUCUAGCAAGCCAGCAGUGAGCAACUAGAUCUAGACCUAACGAGGUUGAGCAAGCUGCAUCACUCAAAUGUAAUGGUUCCACUAACUUAGUACUAUAUUCAGAAUGAUUCUUGCUCUUCCAUAAAUAUGUUCACACUCGUACCCUUUACGAUGUUCUACACAACCAUGCCAACGAUGUGAUUGACUCGCCUAGCAAGUACCAUAUGGCAGUUAGCAUAGUUCAGGGAAUCUUAUAAACUUAACCAUAUUUUAGCCAUAACUAUUUAUAUAUAAAUGGACUGAGCCAGACUUAGUCCAUUUAAUAAUACUUUUCAUAACACAACUAAGCAACAUUAUCUUAUGAUUUAGAUAAACACAAUAUUUUUAUUAAAAUAUUCAAAAUACAAAAAAAUAUUAUUUUGUGAUUUUGACAAAAAACAUGAUUUUCGCGAGAAAAUUCAUUUUUAAUUUUUGUUGUUUUAACAAGAAAACUUAAUUUUGCGGUUUUGGCGGAAAUUUUGAUUUUACGGUUUUAGCUGAAAACUGGAUUUCUCGAUUUGGGCGGGAAAAUUUGAUUAUGAAGUUUUGACGGAAAACUUAAUUUUUUUUGAAGGAAAAACUUAAUUUUAAAAACUCGUUUGAGGUUUUGACGAGAAAACUUCAUUUCCAUAAUCAAAUAAAUUUCAAAUUUAAAAUAUAUUUAAAUAUUGUAUAAUAAUUUUGUGAAGUAAAAUAAAUGGGAUACAAUUAAGUCCUAUAAAAUUUAGGUCUAAUUAUAUUCAACUUUUUUUGAACCAUGUUUCAAAAAUAAAAGAGUUAGGAGUAAAAAAGAUGAUACAGGAUUAUGGCCCUGUUAGGUUGGCCUAUAUUAACAUCCUAGCUUCUUGUAUGGAUCCAAAUCCAACGGAAGUUAUCCUAUCCUUCUACUAGAUCUCUCUAGUAAUAAAAUUAUGCUCAAAUCGCUCACGGAUCCACUGGUAGGGGAUUUGAAUUGUUCAAAGUAAUCGAUCCUUCCAGAAGCAAUAGCAGCCUCUCGUCAGUUGCAGGCACCAUCGGCUACAUUCCACCAGAGUAAGCUUACAGAAUGAGCGUGACAAUGGCUGGUAACGUCUACAGCUUUGGGUGAUUCUUGUGGAAUUGUUAACCGGAGAGUUGGCCAAGUGGGUGCAGAGCUAUUCGAGCCAACAAGAGCAGCCCAACAACAUUCUUGACCUCAGAGUGAGCAAAACAUCAACUGUAGCAACAAAGCAGAUGUUGCGUGCUCUCAGUAUUGCACAUGCCUGUAUAAACAUCUCUCCUGGGGAAAGGCCAAAGAUGAACUGUGUCCUACGGAUGCUCACAAGAAUCUAAGUAAAAAUAUAGGAUGUUGCAAAAUGUGUAAAUUUUUGCUUGUUGCUGUUUAUCUAAGCAGCAUAGAGAGGAUUUCCAUGGCACCCCCUAUUAUCUGCAUCUACAUUACUGAGAUACUCAGAAACAAGAAGAACCCAAUGCAUUCAAAUUUGUAGUUUAAAAACUAUCAGUCCAUAUCAGAUUGAAUAAUCGAGCCUAAGAAUACAAGAUGGCUACAGAUGAUCGAAAUAAACUAUGGAUAUUUGUAUGAAAAUUCUGCAAUGAAAUCAUAUGAGAAGGCCUUUCAAUGUGCCAAAUGUUGCAGGAGAUAUCUCAAACAAACAAAUGAGUAUGUUCCAACAUUACUCUUAGAAAAAGAAGUCGAUUCUAUCAACGAAACUGAUUACGGCAGAAAUACAAAGCUCCCAUGGAAUCAAAAGCGGAGAAGAUUGGGUUGCAAAAAAAAAA